CCAGGCGCGGGCGCGCUGGCAACUGCCGAGCCCCUUUGGGGCGGAGCCCGGCGCCGUGCGCCGCAGCGGCGGCGGGAUAAAAUGGAAAGGAACCUUACUCUCAGAGAAGCGCUGCGGCAGUUGUCGUUCUGCAGACCUGCGGCCGGACUCCGGCGCUUUCCCGAGUCGGCCAGCCCCGCGCGCGACCUAGCCCGGUACCCCUGGAGCCGCGCGUGGCUGCGAGGUCGCUGCUCUUACUACAGGGGUGCGUUUCAUGCUGGGCCGAGCAUCUGGCGAUGCACACCAGGGACCCCCUUGGAUACAGACUCCGUGACCGUCAGAGAGUUUUAGCGGAUCCGAGAGUGACUGCCGUUUACCGAGCACUUUGUGUAAGAAAGCACGCACUGAGAUGAGUGCUUUCAGUAAUUAACCAUAUUCUUUUUUAAUCUUGUGAAGUCGGAAUUAUUUAGCUUAUUUUACAGAUGAGGACAUUACGUGCCUACAAAAAAGCUCAGUAAGCAUUUCAUCACGGAGACAGGGGCUUGUGUUUAAAUCAGAAGGGUUUCUAAAGAAGAGGGACCUUUCCCCAGGUGGAAUUGUCUCUCCUUGGUUAUGCUGCAGAGUACUUGCUACUUUUUGGUGCUUUUUCAUUCUUCCUUGUAGAUUAACUUGUUGUUUAUAUGUCUUCCUUUUGUAAGCUUUUGAAAGUUGGAACCCAGUCUUGUUCAUCUCUUCAGGAUGCUUGCUUAUUCAAUCAGCACGCAUUUACCAAGCACUGAAGGAGGGCAGGGAUUGUGCUGAGUGCUGAGGCUUCAGUGGUGAACCCUUGAACCAGACAAGUAAAAAGACAAUCAGAACAACUGUUAAAUACUAAGAUGGAGUUAGUUCUGCCGGAACACCCAUGAAAGGGUGGGGGGAGCAGGUUGAGAGAAAAACGUGGCCUGUUAGGGACUGCAAAUAGUUCAGGAUGGCUACAGUGGAGAGUGGUGAGGUGCGUGUAGAGGAGGGAACAGGCAAACUUCUUCUAUAAGGGGGCAGAAAAUAAAUAUUUUAGGUUUUGUGGGACAUCCCUUGUUGCUGAACCGAACUGGGCUCCGCGUGUCCUACCUGAAGCCAAGCUGAUCUACUGACAACUGGGUUGUGGUGAGGGAAAGUACAGGGCGCCAAGCAAGAUGAACAGGCAGCGGAUGAUCAAAAGACCGGAACUCACCUGAUGGCUUUCAGGCAAGAGUUUUUAAAGGCAACACUACAGGUGAGGGUGGCAGGGUGCAUGAUUAGCUCACGGAGAUUUUUCUGAUUGGUUGGUAGUGAGGUAACAGGGUGAUGUUUGGGGAAUAUUAAUUAUCAUCCUUUGGUUCCAUCCAGUCUGGGGGUCUGUGUGCUUGUGGUCAACGUGUGUUCAACAUCCUCUACCUGGUUGGGGAUCUUAAGUUUCUGCAGAACAACUCAAAGAUAUGCAUCAGAUUGUUAUCUAUAUCCCUUCAGGAGAGCUAGGAGUUCUGUGGCUAUUGUUCUAAUCAUUAACUGCUUGAGUCUGCUCUGGAACUCAUGGAAGGCCAAGCAAGAAGCAGGGGAUAUGAGAAGUUUGUACCCAGGAAGGCCUCACAGGGUCCUGCUUUGUUUCAGUCCCACUUUUCUUUGAUACUCCUCAAUCCUGAGGGUAACAGGGGCGGGACAAGAAAGGGAAUAAGUUUUGGACAAGAGAGGUUAAUCAUAAACUUGGCAGGGAAACUCGGUUUUAGGAGGACUGGGUUUCAUCCUUGACCUUAGGAGGUCACAGCUGCUCACCUUGUAGCUCAAAAGCAGCCACAGACCAUAUGAAUGGCAGGGGUGGGGGAGGUGUGUUCCAAUAAAACUUUAUGGAUGCUGAGGUUUGAAUUUCAUGUACUUGUCAGUGUUAUGAAAUAUCAUUCAUCUUCUGAUUUUUUUCAACCAUUUAAAAAUGUAAAAACCUUACAUUGAAAACUACAAAAACAGGCAGCGGCCUGGGUUGGAUGGCUGUGUGGCUUACCUUCCGAUCUAGAAAGCUAAAAUGGGGGCAUGAUGGCCUGUGUUACGUUAAACAGUUUAGGCUUUGUCUGAAGUACUUUGUGCAGAGUCAUAGAUAGGUUUUAAGCAAGGACAGUACAUGCAUAGGAAGGAUGAGUUUUUGAAAGAACUCUAGCUGUUAAGUAGUAAACGAAUUGUAGCGGUCACAGAUGGAGACUUGGAGACUAGAAAGGUGUCUUUUGUUAAUAGCCUAAACUAAAGUAAUAGCAGCAGACUGGAUAGACAGAUUCAAGAGGUAAUGGAAAUAGAGCCAAUAGGAUUUAGAGAUUGGUUGGAGUGAAGGGAAAAGAGAAGAGUCAAGGCUAAUUUCUAGGCUUUGGGUUUGGAGAAUUGGGUGACAUAUGGUGAUGCCAUUUUAAUCAGCUGAGAGGAUUACAGGGGUUUUUUGAAAACAAGGGGAGAUUAAAUUUUGGACAUAUGAAUUUUGCAGUGUCUAUGGAAGAUAUAGCCUUGGGGCUAUAGGUCUGGAAAUGAUGCUGUUUUGCUUUUAAAGGUGAGAUUGAAUAGCAGCAAUAGUACAUGUAUUUACUUAUGAAUUCAGUACUUUGGGGGAAGAAUCGUCUGCUGCUCUGGGAGUCAUUUGGACCUUGGAAGACCUUGACAGAUCAGAUAAGGGCAGUCUUCAUGGUCCUUCCUAUCUGUUUGUUGAGUGCUGCCCAGCUUGAAUGCUACACAGCUAUCCAUCUAGUUCUUCCUGCUGAUUACCUGAUUCUUCAACACCAGAAAAGUGCAGGUCACUGCCCCAGUAUUAUGAGGUGUUAAACUUUGGGUGCCUGAGUUCUUCUAGAUAGUCAAAAGAAAAUGUCACAGCUGCUUUUUUAUGUUUUUUUCUUUCUUUUUUUUUUUUUUGGCAGUACGCGGGCCUCUCACUGUUGUGGCCUCCCCCAUUGCAGAGCACAGGCUCCGGACGUGCAGGCUCAGCGGCCAUGGCUCACGGGCCCAGCCGCUCUGCGGCAUGUGGGAUCUUCCUGGACUGGGGCACGAACCCGUGUCCCCUGCAUCGGCAGGCGGACUCCCAACCACUGCGCCACCAGGGAAGCCCCCUGUUUUUUUCUUUUUAAGAAAAUGUCAAUUAUAUAAAAAGUGUCUGGACUGAACAGACCCAGGGACGCCUCCAUGCUCCAGCCUCUGCAACCAUCCUCCAACCUUUUUUCCAGUUGCAACCUUCAGAAUCAGCCACUGGCACCAGCCAACACCAUUUUUUGGCCUCAACUCCUUACAAACAUGACCUCCCAGAUUCGUCAGAAUUAAUGUGCACGUGUGGGCCUCCCACAUCUACCUCUCUCUGGGCUUCUAUUUCCACCAUGACUAUGUGGCCCUGGAGGGCGUGGGGCACUAUAUCCACGAACUGGCCAAGGAGAAUCGCAAGGGCACCGCAGGACCGUCUCUUGAAAAUGCAAAACCAUCGUGGCAGCCACACCCUCUUCCAGGAUGUGCAGAAGCCACCUCAAGAUGAGAGGGGUAAACCCAGGAUGUUAUGGAAGUUGCUGUACUCAUGGCAAACAACCUGAACCAGGCCCUUUUGGAUCUGCAUGCCCUGGGUUCUGCCCGUGCAGACCCCCACCUCUGUGACUUCCUGGAGAGCCACUUCCUAGAUGAGGAGGUGAAACUCAUCUAGAAACUGGGCGACCACCUGACCAACAUCUGCAGGCUGGCUGGUCCCCAGGCUGGGCUGGGUGAGUAUCUCUUCGAAAGGCUUAAAAGGCUUAACCGCAAGCAUGACUAGGAGCCUCUGAAGCCCAGAAACAUUUGAGGAGCCCCUCUGGUGUCAGGGCUUCUACCUGAAGUCCCACUCUGCAGCCUCUAGGCAGCUUUUUAACCGCCCUGGAACCCUCUCCCAAGCCUUGGACCAAAUGAAAACAGUAAAGCGUUUUGCAGAAAAAGAAAAAAGAAAAAAGAGAAAAAGAAAGCUAAGUGAGUAAAUGCGAAGAUUUUCUUCAUCACAAGGAAAAACAUUUUUUCUGUUUAAUUUCAUAUCUCAAGAGAUGAUGGAUGUUCACUAAACUUUUUGUGCUAAUCAUUUCAUGAGGUUAUUUCCCAGUAGGAGUGUCCUUAAUUCAAGGCCUCUCACUGUUGUGGCCUCUCCCGUUGCGGAGCACAGGCUCCGGACGCGCAGGUUCAGUGGCCAUGGCUCACGGGCCCAGCCACUCCACAGCACGUGGGAUCUUCCCGGACCGGGGCACGAACCCACGUCCCCUGCAUCAGCAGGCGGACUCUCAACCACUGCGCCACCAGGGAAGCCCUGAUUUUUACAUAAUACCUGAACUAUAAAAAGGAGAUAACCAUGCAGAGAUCUGGGGACAGAGGGAAGAGAAAGACUCUCGUGAAAGGAAAGUAAAAAUGGAGUCAGCAUUGCUAAGAGAGCUCUCUAAAAUGGAGCCAGGAGACCAUUAAGGAAGUAUGGCUUAUGCACAUCUCAGUCUGGAUGGAAUCUGACCUUUUGACCUGAUGAAGUAAUCCAGAACACCUGCCAGAAACCCAAGAUACUUAUUGGAUCCUAACCCUAAAAUAACUCGUGAUAGUCUAUCUAAUUAUUGGACUCCUAUCCUAAAACAACUUGUAAUUCCUAAGGACAAAUAUUUUCUGACUCAUAUCAGAGUGAAUCACAAUUCUUGCCAGGCAACUUUUAACAGCCUUGUCUUUUUGUCUUUAUAAGCUCCUGACCCUUUCUCUUCCUCAGAACUCUCCUUUGGGUUCACCUGAAUCUGUGUCUCUCGAAUUGCAGUUCUUAAGACCCCAAAUAAACUCCUUUCUUAUUUGGA